rnacentral:rRNA from 1 species
UAAUACUCCAUAGAUUAGAGACACUGGAAUGUUCUUUAGUCGAAAGUUGUGGCGCCUUAGGAUGGAUCUGCGGUCGAUUAGUUUGUUGUUGGGGUAACGGCCCAACAAGCCUGUAAUCGAUACGGGUUGUGGGAGCAAGAGCCCGGAGAUGGAAUCUGAGACACGAUUCCAGGCCCUACGGGGCGCAGCAGGCGCGAAAACUUUACAAUGCAGGAAACUGUGAUAAGGGAACUCCGAGUGCCCGUAUACGCGGGCUGUCCAGGUGUUUAAAAAUCAUCUGAAGAAAGGGCCGGGCAAGACCGGUGCCAGCCGCCGCGGUAAUACCGGCGGCUCGAGUGGUGGCCACUAUUAUUGGGCUUAAAGCGUCCGUAGCUGGACCGAUAAGUCUCUUGGGAAAUCCGCCGGCUCAACCGGCGGGCGUCUAAGGGAUACUGUUAGUCUAGGGACCGGGAGAGGUGAGAGGUACUCCGGGGGUAGGAGUGAAAUCCUGUAAUCCCCGGGGGACCACCGAUGGCGAAGGCAUCUCACCAGAACGGCUCCGACAGUGAGGGACGAAAGCUGGGGGAGCGAACCGGAUUAGAUACCCGGGUAGUCCCAGCCGUAAACUAUGCGCGUUAGGUGU